rnacentral:rRNA from 1 species
GACGAACGCUGGCGGCGUGCUUAACACAUGCAAGUCGAACGGAAAGGCCCUGCUUUUGUGGGGUGCUCGAGUGGCGAACGGGUGAGUAACACGUGAGUAACCUGCCCUUGACUUUGGGAUAACUUCAGGAAACUGGGGCUAAUACCGGAUAGGAGCUCCUGCUGCAUGGUGGGGGUUGGAAAGUUUCGGCGGUUGGGGAUGGACUCGCGGCUUAUCAGCUUGUUGGUGGGGUAGUGGCUUACCAAGGCUUUGACGGGUAGCCGGCCUGAGAGGGUGACCGGGCACAUUGGGACUGAGAUACGGCCCAGACUCCUACGGGAGGCAGCAGUGGGGAAUAUGGCACAAUGGGCGGAAGCCUGAUGCAGCAACGCCGCGUGCGGGAUGACGGCCUUCGGGUUGUAAACCGCUUUCGCCUGUGACGAAGCGUGAGUGACGGUAAUGGGUAAAGAAGCACCGGCUAACUACGUG